CUCGUCUUCCCCCAAAACCGAAACCCUAAGCGAGCCUCUUCUCUCCUCUCCCUUUUCUUCUUCCAAAUUCUUCCCAAGAAAAAAAAAACUCUAGCUUUUCGGUGCCCCUAUCUUCUCAAUUCUCGUGGAGAUCCAGGGUUUCUGCCCUAAAUCGUUAAAGAUUCGACGAUCCAAGGCGGAAGAGGAGCCUAUCUCAAGCAGAGGGUUUUCUGCCCUAAAUCGUCAAAGAUUCGACGAUCCAUGGCGGAAGAGGAGCCUAUCUCAAGCAGAGGGUUUUCUGUCCUAAAUCGUCAAAGAUUCGACGAUCUAUGGCGGAAGAGGAGCCUAUCGAGGGUUUUCUGCCCUAAAUCGUCAAAGAUUCGACGAUCCAUGGUGAGAGAGGAGCUGAUCUCAAGCGAUUUCAAGGUAAAUUCUCCCAUCCUCAAGUUCCCAUCGCUGGAUCCAUGGUGGGGAAGUACUUCGAAGAAAAUCAAAGUUGGGAAAGUUUGUUCAGUGUAAGCAUUUAUUGAGGUUGUAUAUGUUCACUUAUUGGCACUCCUUUGAGUUUGUACUAAGGGGCUUCCUCAACUCUUCCUUAUAGCCUCGGGUUAGAACCGGAUUGACUCUAAUUUAAUAUUGAGGACAAAAUAUGCACAAGCUCAAUUCUGUGGACUGUGACUUUUACCUGAAAUUCAUCAUACUGCAGAGUUUGGAGUCUCUGAUUCAAUACUGAUUGUGAAAAGAGGACGGAUGAAUCGAGAACCUAACCUCAUACGGAUGCACUUAGUGUGAAAGCUACUGCAACAUCUCAUCAGAUCCCAAGUCGAUAGGCAAAUGCGAACUCCAGCUUCCCCCAGUGGUGCAUCAUUGAGUAAAGAAAGACCAGCAGAGAAGCAAAUACUUUCAGGUUUGAGCUUAUUAUUCUGAUGGUAAGAGUAGGAGAUGGUGUAGUUCAAGCAAGAGCACUGCUGGUGUUAAUUACACUGGGAUUGACAAUCCUUUAAGAAAGAUAGCAAAUAUAACCAACAUAUCAAAACGAAUGGACUCUAGAAUCAAUGAGCAUCAGCUUAGAAUCUCAGUGAGGCAGCAGAGUUAAUUUAAGUCGUGUAUGGAAGUCCGAAUAAUAAGGGCAACUCUUGCAAGAUUAUUGGCUUGGUAUUUGAUAGCAAAAUCCUAUAGAAAGGGGGCCCAAAGUCAAAUUUGAAGGUUGUGAUUCAAUGGAAUUGUAGGUUUUCAGUUUG